rnacentral:rRNA from 1 species
GACGAACGCUGGCGGCGUGCCUAAUACAUGCAAGUAGGACGCAGUUGCGAUCGGGUGAGUAACGCGUAGGUAACUGCCUAUUAGCGGGGGAUAACUAUUGGAAACGCUAGCUACUACCGCAUACUAGUAGAUGGAUCUGCGUUGUAUUAGCUAGUAGGUAGGGUAAGAGCCUACCUAGGCGACGAUACAUAGCCCACCUGGGUGGGUGAACAGCUAAACUGGGAAUGGGACACGGCUCAGACUCCUACGGGAAGGAGCAAGAGGGGAUCUUGGGGAAUGGGGGGAACCCUGAACGGGCAAAUGCGGGUGAGGGAAGAAAGGUUUCGGAUCGUAAAGCUCUGGUGUUAAGGAAGCGGUACUUAACCAGAAAGGGACGGCUAACUACGUGCCAGCAGCCGCGGUAAUAC